UACGUAGGGUGCGAGCGUUACUCGGAAUUACUGGGCGUAAAGCGUGCGUAGGCGGUUCGUUGUGUCUGUGGUGAAAGCCCCGGGCUUAACCUGGGAAUGGCCAUGGAAACUGGCGAGCUGGAGUGUGGCAGAGGGGGGUGGAAUUCCGCGUGUAGCAGUGAAAUGCGUAGAGAUGCGGAGGAACACCGAUGGCGAAGGCAGCCCCCUGGGCGAACACUGACGCUGAGGCACGAAAGCGUGGGGAGCAAACAGG
rnacentral:rRNA from 1 species